UACGUAGGCAGCGAGCGUUGUUCGGAGUUACUGGGCGUAAAGAGUGCGUAGGCGGUUUUCUAAGUUUGGUGUGAAAUCUCCCGGCUUAACUGGGAGGGUGCGCCGAAGACUGGAAGGCUUGAGUAUGGGAGAGGUAAGCGGAAUUCCUGGUGUAGCGGUGAAAUGCGUAGAUAUCGGGAGGAACACCAGUGGCGAAGGCGGCUACCUGGCCCAUUCUUGACGCUGAGGCGCGAAAGCUAGGGGAGCAAACGGG
rnacentral:rRNA from 1 species